rfam:Terribacillus aidingensis strain MP602, complete genome.
GCAAUCCUGAUGUGUACGUUCUUCAUAUGUUUUGACCGAUUACAGUGAAGUACGGGAGCCCGAUAGUCUUCGCGCGGCAUGCAAGCCUCCAUGGAGUGGACGCAUAAAGUGCGAAUCAGGGCACCCACCUGCGGAGAGCGGGUUCAAAACUUCAAUAGGACGGCACGAUCGGGAUUGCU